GCUUGACCUUGGAUGGAAUGUCCAUGGCCUCUAGCUGCAACCGUCAAGUCGGACGCAUAUCCCAUACUGAAAAUAUGGUUUAUCGUGUUCGAAAUAUCGGACACAGAUUUUGGAUGUAAAACAGCUAAUGGUGUUUGCAGUUCAUAAGAGGAUAUAUCAGAGGAACCAAAAUGAGGAGGAAUUGUUGGGGCUGCAAAAAGGUGGUUGGUGCUGUCAGGUAUGCAACUAAUGUAUAGAAUUAUGUAUAACUUGAGGAAAAUAAUGCUUUGUUUGAUGAAGCCAGAAGGUGGCGACCCCAUCUUUCCUUAAGGAGAGAAAGAAAGAGUGAUAGAAAGAAUAAGAGAGAGAGAGCGAGAGAGAGAGAGAGAGCAAAAGGAGAGGUGCAGAAAAGCCUAAGGAAGGAAGUGGAAUGAAAGAGAAUUUAAAGAAGUUCUUGGGCAGCAUAGUCAAACAUAUAGUUGGUGGCAUUGGGCGAGCUAGCUACCAGUAGUUCUUUUGGUUCACCUUUUUGAGGUUAAAAAAAAAAACAGAGGAGAUAAAAAAAACUGCCCAAAAGCAAAAGCAAAAACAUAAAUAUUUCCUUUUCCUUUUCCUUUUCCUUUUCUCGAUUGACACUUUCUGAAGAACAGUUCUCAACCAAAUUUUAGUGAAAGAAAACAAAAAUCACCUUGACCAUUAAUUGAGGAAGGUGCAGAGUGGUGUUUUUACUGCAUGAAGCAAAGAUUUUAUGUUUCUCCUUAUUCCAAUCUUGUCAAAAUUCACUGUUUGUCUUCUUUACACACUGAAUGCGGCUGCAAAACCACUGUAAUUGGCUGAAUUUUCACUUUUUGUCUGCUGUUCAUAUAUGGUACAGUUUGAAUUCAAUUUCUCUAUUGCAGAGUGAAUGGCGGGCUGGCCCCUACUCUGUUUCAUGCUUCUUCAAGCUGAGUGUCUGAGGAGUCAGAUAUCUUGGACCCACUUCAUUUUUUCUUCAGAAGAGUAUAGAUUGUGCUUUGACAGCUCUUACCAACGAGCUAUAUAGUUCUUUCUAUAUAAUUUUCAUGAAUUUCUUACAUGUUCAUAUUUAGCUUUGUAUAUGUUCGUUUGUCGAUUUUUAUCGUUAUGGUAUAGAUAUGAGAUCAAACCAUCAAAAGCUUAAAAGGGUAAGCACAAUCUAGAUUACUUACUACAAAUUUUGGUCGAAACCAUCGUAAGGGGCUCUCGAUGCCGAUCUUUGUAAGGUCAAAGACUCAAUACAUAUGCACGUGAACUAGCUCAUUAGUAGUUCUUAGAAAAA